rnacentral:rRNA from 1 species
UACAGAGGUGGCAAGCGUUGUUCGGAAUUACUGGGCGUAAAGGGCGCGUAGGCGGCCUUGUAAGUCCUGUGUGAAAUCCCCCGGCUCAACUGGGGAACUGCACAGGAGACUGCUUGGCUUGAGUUCGGGAGAGGGAAGCGGAAUUCCGGGUGUAGCGGUGAAAUGCGUAGAUAUCUGGAGGAACACCGGUGGCGAAGGCGGCAUCCUGGACCGAGAUUGACGCUGAGGCACGAAAGCGUGGGGAGCAAACAGG